CUCAGUUCUUCUCCUUUCUGACUGAACCCUGAUUAGUUCAAAAUCCCAUAUCAAGCCAGAUGAAGGAGUUUGAGUAGUGAGUGAUUGAAAGAAGAAUGCGUUCUCCAGUGGGUUCAUCCAUGCUCAUGUCAUACCUCUGAGAUCUCCUCUGGUCUGUAAUUUUGGAAGCUCAAAAUCCCAGAAGUAUGCUGAACGACAUCGGGCAGAGGAGAAAGCUUUAAAGCAUAGAUGUGCGUUGCUGUUGAAGUUUCUUCCUGACAUACAUAAAUGAAAUCAAAGAAGAACGAGGUGAGCCUGUGACACUUCUGGGACCUCAUCACUUUCAUUGGACAGAAAAGGCUCUGCAUUCAACCAGCAGCUCCAGGGGUUAUAAUCCAAAACAGCCUUUUAGACCUGGAACUUACAAUUUCCUUCCAAAUGACUGUGGGAGCAUGGCUAGAUAAUUAUACAUCUCAACCAUUGUGUAAACCAAUUUAAUUAACAUUUUUCAGGCAUGUCACAUUUGUACAAUCACUAAAUAAUUUUCUAAAAUUAUGUUGCCUUAGAAAUUGCCACGUAUCAACCUGGAUUAUUCUG
rnacentral:lncRNA from 1 species